GGCCCCGUGGCGCAAUGGUUAGCGCGUCUGGGCUCCCGAUCAGAAGGCUGGGUGUUCGAGUCACUCCGGGGUCA